AACGGCCAUUCGCUGGUUAUCCUCAUCCACCGGUUCAGGAAUCACUGCACUCAUCCUUCAGGGAAGAUCUCUGCCCUGAUGGUCACGGAGGUAGUCGCGUCGUCGUCGUUCUCACCGCUCUGGGCCCAUCCGCCUCCUUCAUGCACGGUGUCAUCUCCCUCCAACUUUGCCGACGGCGAUUCAACCCCUCCGCUGCUACUCUGCUGCCCUGGAUGGCAACUUCCUCCUCAGAUCGGCCCGAGCCGUUUCCUACAAAUGCGCCAAAUGUAGAUCCAGGUGUUCUUCUCUUGUGUGUUCUGGAAUGAGAGCCAAAUCUAUUGCUUCUUCUUCGUUUUCUGCAUAAAUAGACAAAGAUGAAUGCUGAACUAUUGCUCGAUCUGCCAGCUCUGUUGAUUUUGUUUGUUGUUGAGGUUAAAAUGUAAAAUUGAAAUCUGAUGAGUCUCCUUCUUCUCCUUUGAUGUGAACUUCUUUUCUUUGCUGAAUUGUUACUGAGUAGUGAAAAUUCUGCAUUUGAUUUGGCCUGAAUCUGGAAAAUUGGAGGCUCCUGGAGUCGUUGAUGAUCGUUGAUUUGGCUGUGGUUACUGUUCUAAGGUCGUAUAAUGAGACUGCAUUUUUGGUUAGUCAAAAUUAUCCUGUCACCAUCUUCAAUUAAGCUCUGUCAUAUAAGCUCUG